GACGAACGCUGGCGGCGUGCUUAACACAUGCAAGUCGAACGGAAAGGCCCUGCUUUUGUGGGGUGCUCGAGUGGCGAACGGGUGAGUAACACGUGAGUAACCUGCCCUUGACUUUGGGAUAACUUCAGGAAACUGGGGCUAAUACCGGAUAGGAGCUCCUGCUGCAUGGUGGGGGUUGGAAAGUUUCGGCGGUUGGGGAUGGACUCGCGGCUUAUCAGCUUGUUGGUGGGGUAGUGGCUUACCAAGGCUUUGACGGGUAGCCGGCCUGAGAGGGUGACCGGCCACAUUGGGACUGCGAUACGGCCCAGACUCCUACGGGAGGCAGCAGUGGGGAAUAUUGCACAAUGGGCGGAAGCCUGAUGCAGCAACGCCGCGUGCGGGAUGACGGCCUUCGGGUUGUAAACCGCUUUCGCCUGUGACGAAGCGUUAGUGACGGUAAUGGGUAAAGAAGCACCGGCUAACUACGUG
rnacentral:rRNA from 1 species